rnacentral:lncRNA from 1 species
AGUAAAUCUUUAUGGUUUCACACCUCAGAUUCAUGAAUUGUCUAAGUCUUUCAAUUUCCCUUCGAUAGACAGCUACCCCAUCUCCCUGAUCAUAAUGCUUGUCCUUCAUUUCACCUUCUCCAACUUCAGCAUGUCUGUCUUGGGGUAUGUAAGACAGAAAUGUACACAAAUCUGUUCAAGAUGUGGGUGCAUGACACCUUUUAGAUACAAAAAUAUGUAUCCUAUUUUGCUGUCCACAGUUUCAUGAUGGUGCCCAGAAUCUCAUUGGCUUUUUCAGUGGCCACUGCGCAUUGAGUCGAAGAUUUCAAACAUCUGACAUCAUGAAACCAAGAUUUCUUACCUGAACAAUAACUGCCAUUUUCAUGUCCAGCUUUAUGAACCUUCAGGUUCAUGGUUUAGGUUUUCUGGCUCUUUUUCUUACUUGCAUUAUUUUAGGUUUAUCCACAUCAGAGUUUAUUUGCCUGCCAUUUGUAAAUUUUUAUGAGAUCUGUCAGCAUCUCCUUGUCAGCAGAAAAGUGGUUUUCAUAUCUACAGAGUUGGAUAUUCCUCUACUUAUUUUUUCUCCAGGUCAUGGACAAAGAUGUUGAAUAAAAUUGCUUCCAGGACCAAUCCCUAUUGACUUGUCUCUUGAAAAGUCUCUUCUCUUUAAUAUUCCUUGCCUUUCAUCCAUGCAUUUACAGUCCCCCUGCUAGAACUUCAGCAGAUUAUUGAGAUGAACAGACCGAUCCAGGUGAAGCCAGCGGACAGCGAAAGCCGAGGAGAUCUGAACAUCUCUUAUGACCUGCGGUGUUUUUCCUUCAGCUCUAAGAUAAAUCUGAUCCAGAAAGAGCUUUUCAGUGCUCAUGGAAAUCUUGUCUUCCUAGCUGUAGCUAGUUGUGGGACUGAUUACAGUCAAUGGAAAAUCAAAAUCUCUUGCUUUAUUGUGGAAUUUCAGCACUAUGUGACCCUACUGACAGCUGACACUCUGCUGUCCUCAGAAAGCUGUAUUUUCAAGCAGGGAGAGUGUACCAGCAUGCAAAUGGAUCAGUUAAUUCAAAGUGGCCCUGGAUGACCCUGUUCACGCUCUCCAUUCUCUGUUAAAACUUAAUUCUGGGUGAGAAAAAGGGCUUCAGCAGAUCCUCACGUGUAGUGUUUUAUAUUUGAUGACUCUGCUGAAGGCUGAUGUGCUCCAUUCUGCAGUCAAAUGUUGAAAGAAUAUAAGGGACAUCAAACUUUUGUUCACAUCUGCCCUUCCCAUGGUGAUUGAAAUCAAUGGAAGUGUGCCCAUCAAUAGGAACUGGAAAAGAUCCACAGGACAUUGUGUUCUAGUACAUGUCCUAAGGACACCCUUUUAAAAUCAAGUAUUAGGGGAAUAAAAGGAAAAAAACCCAAAAACCA